UACGUAGGGGGCAAGCGUUGUCCGGAUUUAUUGGGCGUAAAGCGCACGUAGGCGGACUAUUAAGUCAGGGGUGAAAUCCCGGGGCUCAACCCCGGAACUGCCUUUGAUACUGGUAGUCUCGAGUCCGGAAGAGGUGAGUGGAAUUCCGAGUGUAGAGGUGAAAUUCGUAGAUAUUCGGAGGAACACCAGUGGCGAAGGCGGCUACCUGGCCCACUCUUGACGCUGAGGCGCGAAAGCUAGGGGAGCAAACGGG
rnacentral:rRNA from 1 species